UACGUAGGGGGCUAGCGUUGUCCGGAUUUAUUGGGCGUAAAGAGCGUGUAGGCGGCCAGGUAGGUCCGGUGUGAAAACUCGAGGCUUAACCUCGAGAUGUCAUCGGAAACCAUCUGGCUAGAGUCCGGAAGAGGAAAGUGGAAUUCCUGGUGUAGCGGUGAAAUGCGCAGAUAUCAGGAAGAACACCAAUGGCGAAAGCAGCAAACUGGGCAUCAACUGACGCUGAGGCGCGAAAGCGUGGGUAGCAAACAGG
rnacentral:rRNA from 1 species